CCUACGGGAGGCAGCAGUGGGGAAUAUUGGACAAUGGGGGGAACCCUGAUCCAGCCAUGCCGCGUGUGUGAAGAAGGCCCUCGGGUUGUAAAGCACUUUCAGUGAGGAAGAACGCCUGGUGGUUAAUACCCAUCAGGAAAGACAUCACUCACAGAAGAAGCACCGGCUAACUCCGUGCCAGCAGCCGCGGUAAUACGGAGGGUGCGAGCGUUAAUCGGAAUUACUGGGCGUAAAGCGCGCGUAGGUGGCUUGAUAAGCCGGUUGUGAAAGCCCCGGGCUCAACCUGGGAACGGCAUCCGGAACUGUCAAGCUAGAGUGCAGGAGAGGAAGGUAGAAUUCCCGGUGUAGCGGUGAAAUGCGUAGAGAUCGGGAGGAAUACCAGUGGCGAAGGCAGCCUUCUGGACUGACACUGACACUGAGGUGCGAAAGCGUGGGUAGCAAACAGGAUUAGAUACCCGUGUAGUC
rnacentral:rRNA from 1 species